rnacentral:misc_RNA from 1 species
AUCAGGUGUGUUUGUUUAUAUUGGCAGCUGAGAGAGAGUGAGAGGCGGUGAGCAGCACGUGGUGUGGCCUGCAUUGCUUGUACUAUAUCAGGCACUGCUAUAUCAGGACCAACACAUCACUCAGCACUCAGCACGGCGCAAAACAGCGCGCCAGCCGCCCACACACCCACACACCCACUCCGAGGAACCAGCACACACCACAACCAUGAGUACAGAGGAGCCUGCCUGUGCCGCUGCCGACCCGGAGGCUGACACUGCAGACAAUGACUCAGAGGAGGAGGAGGAUGAGGAGUACGCAAAGAAAGUGAAGUUAGUGCAAGAGAAUCCAGCUUUCUACACUGACGCUGCAGCGUACUGGAACAAUGUGCCGGCCACGGUCAAUGGCAUGCUGGGAGGCUUUGCCCACAUCAAUGCUCCCGACAUCUGUGGCUCAGAAAUCUUCCUCCAGAGUAUCUUUAAGAUGAAGAACGCUCCAGGUCACGGCCGCGCGGUGGACUGUGGUGCAGGCAUCGGCAGGAUAACCAAGCAUCUGCUGCAGAAACACUUUGGCAAAGUUGACCUGGUUGAACAGUGUCAGAGUUUUUUGGACAGGGCUAAGGAAUCAUUGAAAAGUUCUCCUAAGGUUGGUGAAUAUUUGUGUCAAGGCCUGCAGCACUUUGCCCCAGAGCCCGGUACCUAUGAUGUUGUGUGGAGCCAGUGGGUGCUGGGGCAUCUGACGGAUGAAGACCUUGAGAAUUUCUUCCGAAGGAUGGCGCGAGGACUUAAGCCUAAUGGUGUGGUUGUUGUGAAGGAAAAUGUCACGUCCUCGGGUAUCGUAGAACUGGACGAACAAGACUCGUCCGUCACCAGACCUGAGAGUCUGCUUCUGGAGAUAAUAGAUAAGGCGGCACUCAGGGUCAUAAAGAACACAAAGCAGAACAAUCUUCCCAAAGGCCUUUAUGAAGUAAAGAUGCUGUGUCUGAGGCCUAAAUGAAAUGAACAUGUUUUUAUUGGUGAUUGGGAAAGGAGAGGCAGGUAGUAGUGAAGACAAGGCAUCUGUGUCAGAGUCUGGGAAGAGUGAUGCCUUUCCUUCCCCUCCGUGCCUUGUGUGGUGAUGGGAACAGAGACAGAGGAGGGAUCUCCUAGUCCCCCUGCUGGAUCCCUCUGUGACACAGACGGCAUCAGUGUGGGUGACAGGUGAGCAGACACACAAACUGUACAGAAAAAGAGCUAAGAUUGAUGUAAGGAACUACAGCUUUCCUGACGGUGAACUGACUGACAAAGUUGUGUGUGCCAGGUUUCACAGCUUCAAAGAUAUGCUUCACAAAUGAACUUUAAAAGAUGGGGCAAUGUGAACACAUACUUUGGUACUGUAAAUUGUUGGUGUGGUACAUAAACAGACAGACAGAUGGUACAGAAAUGGGAAAUAUAAGAGAGGAAGAAGAAGGCAGAUAG